AGUGAACGCUGGCGGUAGGCCUAACACAUGCAAGUCGAACGGCAGCACAGUAAGAGCUUGCUCUUACGGGUGGCGAGUGGCGGACGGGUGAGGAAUACAUCGGAAUCUACUUUUUCGUGGGGGAUAACGUAGGGAAACUUACGCUAAUACCGCAUACGACCUACGGGUGAAAGCAGGGGAUCUUCUGACCUUGCGCGAUUGAAUGAGCCGAUGUCGGAUUAGCUAGUUGGCGGGGUAAAGGCCCACCAAGGCGACGAUCCGUAGCUGGUCUGAGAGGAUGGUCAGCCACACUGGAACUGAGACACGGUCCAGACUCCGACGGGAGGCAGCAGUGGGGAAGAUUGGAAAAUGGGCGCAAGCCUGAUCCAGCCAUACCGCGUGGGUGAAGAAGGCCUUCGGGUUGUAAAGCCCUUUUGUGGGGAAAGAAAAGCAGCAGGUUAAUACCCCGCUGUUCUGACGGUACCCAAAGAAUAAGCACCGGCUAACUUCGU
rnacentral:rRNA from 1 species